AAUUCUAUACAAAGGAAGGUAACUCACACUACCCAAGGGCUCUGAAGGACUUUGCCAAAAUUGAGGAGUUGGCCAGACAGAGGGAAGAGCAUGGGGGAAGGGGGGGCGGGGGGCUUGACCACGUGCGGACAGGCAGAUUCAGUAACUGUUAACACACGGGAAGUUGACGGGUUGUAACAGACAGUGGGGAAAUGGGCGUGCGUAAAAACUAGGAACAGCGCGCCUGGAAUCCCGAGGCCUGGUCCUGGUUCUCAGAGUGAGGACGUGCCGUCACCACGGAGCCAAGCGUGAAAUUUGGGGUAAAUUUCUCCCUGAAGACCCCUUUUAAGCAAUGUGAGGGUCCUCCUAGAUUGAAAGUAUAACCUAAAAUUGCGAUUUGGGCCCCUAGGUUAUGUUUUUUGGAAGAGUCUGCCUGUCAUACUGAGUAUAAGACAUUAAAGCCACAAACCGAAUUUCUGUCUUCUAAUCCUCUGUAUAAUUUGUGACCUUCCCCGCCCUCCCCAAGUCCCUCUCUGCCUCCAGCUAUGCCGACUACAGCCUUUUAAAGAAACUCACUUCUUUUUCCAAAGGUGCCACUAGCACAGCUGAGAAGUGCUUUAAGCCUGAGGAUGGUAAAGUCCCUCCGUGGAGACAGAGUAGGGCUGGAGGAUGAGUAUCAGUGCUGAGUCUGAUGUGGGUACACUGAAGUUUCCCCCCAGCCCAUCCGGGCAUGAAGCAGCUGCAAUCCACAAUGGCCCUGGGAGAAACCACUGAAGGAUGCCCUUCAGCAUCCACAGCAGGAAAAUGAGGCCACAGAGAGCUGUGAAGAACCUUAGAGAUGGAGGCUGAAGAAGAUCCAGAUCAGACCCAGGAUCAAUUCUCACAUCUAGCUCAGUGAUGAGCAGGUGGACUGAUGAAACUUCUAGUAAACAAAGCACACUACACUUAGGAUAGUUGUUAUGGUGUGCACAGACAUAUGUCUGACCCACAUCAAACCAUCAGAGGAAGCAUGCACAGAUGACUCCCUAGGCCUCAGUUUCCUCACUAGUAAAAGAGACAACUUUAAUGAGUUGGUAUAUGCAAAUAAGUAUGUGCAAAUGAAAUGAGGUAUGCAAAUGAGUUGAUGUACAUAAAUGAGCUGAUACAUGUAAAUGAUUGAUGUGUGUGAAUGUAUUAUGUAUGCAAAUGAGCUGUUGUAUGUAAAGCACUUAGACCAGCACUCAGCACCCAGCCCUAGGGAAGAAUUUUCAAAUAUCAAUGCUGAGUCAGAAAUACAGGUAAUAAGUGGGAGGUACACACACCAAAUGGCUUCCCUCUGUAUCUGUAGCUGCCCAGGCUGCUCCCCAAAUGUCCAACUCGUCUCAGCCACCC
rnacentral:lncRNA from 1 species